rnacentral:rRNA from 1 species
UACGGAGGGUGCAAGCGUUAUCCGGAUUCACUGGGUUUAAAGGGUGCGUAGGUGGCUUUGUAAGUCAGUGGUGAAAUCUUAGAGCUUAACUCUAAAACUGCCAUUGAUACUGCUUAGCUUGAAUCAAGUAGAAGUGGAUGGAAUAUUACAUGUAGCGGUGAAAUGCUUAGAUAUGUAAUAGAACACCGAUUGCGAAGGCAGUUCACUAUGCUUGUAUUGACACUGAGGCACGAAAGCGUGGGGAUCAAACAGG